rfam:Cavia porcellus supercont2_6 genomic scaffold, whole genome shotgun sequence.
UGGCGCCCAACAUGGGGCUCAAGAACAGGGACUUAGUGAGGGACGCUGUUUGUGGGCCCAAAGUAGAAAAAGGAAAAGGAAAAGGAGGACCGACAUGGGAGCCUGCCACACCGCUGAACUUCAGUAAGUGAACAGUGAUUAUGGAACAAGAAAUUAGCCAGCAUGAGAUUUUUGUUGAAAGUUUAAAAAAGCUUUAAAGAUGCAAAGGGUAAAGGAAAAAAAAAUUUAGCAAUUGUGUCCAUUAGGACAA